AUUGAACGCUGGCGGCAGGCCUAACACAUGCAAGUCGAGCGGAUGACGGGAGCUUGCUCCUCGAUUCAGCGGCGGACGGGUGAGUAAUACCUAGGAAUCUGCCUGAUAGUGGGGGACAACGUUUCGAAAGGAACGCUAAUACCGCAUACGUCCUACGAGAGAAAGCAGGGGACCUUCGGGCCUUGCGCUAUCAGAUGAGCCUAGGUCGGAUUAGCUAGUUGGUGAGGUAAUGGCUCACCAAGGCGACGAUCCGUAACUGGUCUGGGAGGAUGAUCAGUCACACUGGAACUGAGACACGGUCCAGACUCCUACGGGAGGCAGCAGUGGGGAAUAUUGGACAAUGGGCGAAAGCCUGAUCCAGCCAUGCCGCGUGUGUGAAGAAGGUCUUCGGAUUGUAAAGCACUUUAAGUUGGGAGGAAGGGCAGUAAGCUAAUACCUUGCUGUUUUGACGUUACCGACAGAAUAAGCACCGGCUAACUCUGUGCCAGCAGCCGCGGUAAGAC
rnacentral:rRNA from 1 species